AGAAUAACUGUGAAAUCAAUGCUCCAGACAAGGAUGGUUGGACUCCUUUAUGGCAUGCCUAUGGGAACAAUGACGAAGACAGUAUGAAAUUGUUACUGAAAUCAGGGGCAGAUAAGAAUGUAAGAAAUGCAGAUGGAGUUACAAUAAUGGAUGAAGCAAGAGAUGCAGACGAUGAUAGCAUGAUAGAAUUAUUACAAAGUUUUUCACAAGCAUGGACAUGAGUGAUAUAGUAAAGUUUCAAUAUAAAUGAAUCUUCCAACUUUAUAAACAGAAGUGCUGAUCAGACAGAUACAAUUUAGCACUUGUUAAUGUAUGCAGCAUAGAUGCACAUACUACAGCAAAGGAAUUAAAAAUAAUGCUUCAAAAAUUAACAUUUUACUGAAAGUAAAGUUAAAAAAACCAGUGUAUUGUUUUAUCAAAAAUCAGAAAAACACCUAAC
rnacentral:lncRNA from 1 species